rnacentral:rRNA from 1 species
GACGAAGGAUGCAAGCGUUAUCCGGAUUCAUUGGGUUUAAAGGGCGCGUAGGCGGCUUGGUAAGUCAGUGGUGAAAUCUGUGGGCUUAACCCACAAACUGCCAUUGAUACUGCUGAUCUAGAGUACAGUUGCCGUUGGCGGAAUAUGACAUGUAGUGGUGAAAUACUUAGAUAUGACACAGAACUCCGAUUGCGAAGGCAGCUCACUAAACUGUAACUGACGCUGAGGCACGAAAGCGUGGGGAUCAAACAGG